rnacentral:rRNA from 1 species
CAGCUUGCUGGGCGGAUUAGUGGCGAACGGGUGAGUAAUACGUGAGUAACCUGCCCUUGACUCUGGGAUAAGCCUGGGAAACUGGGUCUAAUACUGGAUACUACUUCCUGCCGCAUGGUGGGUGGUGGAAAGGGUUUUACUGGUUUUGGAUGGGCUCACGGCCUAUCAGCUUGUUGGUGGGGUAAUGGCUCACCAAGGCGACGACGGGUAGCCGGCCUGAGAGGGUGACCGGCCACACUGGGACUGAGACACGGCCCAGACUCCUACGGGAGGCAGCAGUGGGGAAUAUUGCACAAUGGGCGGAAGCCUGAUGCAGCGACGCCGCGUGAGGGAUGACGGCCUUCGGGUUGUAAACCUCUUUCAGUAGGGAAGAAGCGAGAGUGACGGUACCUGCAGAAGAAGCGCCGGCUAACUACGUGCCAGCAGCCGCGGUAAUACGUAGGGCGCAAGCGUUGUCCGGAAUUAUUGGGCGUAAAGAGCUCGUAGGCGGUUUGUCGCGUCUGCUGUGAAAGCCCGGGGCUCAACCCCGGGUCUGCAGUGGGUACGGGCAGACUAGAGUGCAGUAGGGGAGACUGGAAUUCCUGGUGUAGCGGUGAAAUGCGCAGAUAUCAGGAGGAACACCGAUGGCGAAGGCAGGUCUCUGGGCUGUUACUGACGCUGAGGAGCGAAAGCAUGGGGAGCGAACAGGAUUAGAUACCCUGGUAGUCCAUGCCGUAAACGUUGGGCACUAGGUGUGGGGGACAUUCCACGUUUUCCGCGCCG